CAAUAGCGUAUGUUAAAGUUGUUGCGGCUAAAAAGCUCGUAGUUGGAUUUCUGUUGAGGACGUCCGGUCCGCUCUAUGAGCGUGCAUCUGGUUCGGCCUCGGCAUCCGCUCUGCAUACGUGUCUGCGCUUGAUUGCGUGGCGCGGGGUAGGGCCUUUUACUUUGAGGAAAUUAGAGUGUUCACGGCAGGCAAUCGCCCUGAAUAUAUUAGCAUGGAAUAUAACAUAGGAUCUUGGUUCUAUUUUGUUGGUUUCUAGGGCUAAGAUAAUGAUUAAUAGGGACAAUUGGGGGCAUUCGUAUUGCGGUGUCAGAGGUGGAAUUCUUGGAUUACUGCACGACGAACUACUGCGAAAGCAUUUGCCAAGGAUGUUUUCAUUGA
rnacentral:rRNA from 1 species